rnacentral:rRNA from 1 species
GAUGAACGCUGGCGGCGUGCCUAAUACAUGCAAGUCGAGCGAACGGACGGGAAGCUUCCUUCACUGAUUUUACCGGCGGACGGGUGGGUAACACGUGGAUAACCUCCCUUUAGGACUGGAAUAACUUCGGGAAACCGGGGCUAAUACCGAAUACUAUUUUGCACCGCAUGGUUCAAAAUUGAAAGACGCUCUUGCUUACACUUAUAGAUUGGUCCGCGCUGCAUUAGCUAGUUGGUGAGGUAACGGCUUACCAAGGCCACGAUGCAUAGCCGACCUGAGAGGGUGAUCGGCCACACUGGAACUGAGACACGGUCCAGACUCCUACGGGAGGCAGCAGUAGGGAAUCUUCCGCAAUGGGCGAAAGCCUGACGGAGCAACGCCGCGUGAGUGAUGAAGGUCUUCGGAUCGUAAAACUCUGUUAUUAGGGAAGAACAUAUGUGUAAGUAACUGUGCACAUCUUGACGGUACCUAAUCAGAAAGCCACGGCUAACUACGUG